rnacentral:misc_RNA from 1 species
ACAAUGUCAGCAGUUGUUUUAAUGCUGAAUGGUGAAACAACUCUUCCUACUCCAAAACAGCCUGCAUUCAUUUUUAGAAAGUCUAAGAAUAGCUCUAACCCAUCAGCAGAAAGAGAUGGAUGUUUAUCUGUGGAUGAGGAAACAAUUACAGAGGUUGUAUGUCGCUGAAUACAUUAUCUUUCAUUGAUUAUACAUAAAUUUUUAGUAUAGGGAUGUAUAAUAUGCUUUUUACCUCGAGAAUAAACAAAAAUAUGUUGUGGAACCUUAAUAUUCUGUAAAAUAAUCACCAAUAUAGCUUUGAGAUUA